GACGAACACUGGCGGCGUGCCUAAUACAUGCAAGUAGAACGCACAGUUUAUACCGUAGCUUGCUACACCAUAGACUGUGAGUUGCGAACGGGUGAGUAACGCGUAGGUAACCUGCCUGGUAGCGGGGGAUAACUAUUGGAAACGAUAGCUAAUACCGCAUAAUAUUAAUUAUUGCAUGAUAAUUAAUUGAAAGGUGCAAUUGCACCACUACCAGAUGGACCUGCGUUGUAUUAGCUAGUAGGUGAGGUAACGGCUCACCUAGGCGACGAUACAUAGCCGACCUGAGAGGGUGAUCGGCCACACUGGGACUGAGACACGGCCCAGACUCCUACGGGAGGCAGCAGUAGGGAAUCUUCGGCAAUAGACGAAAGUCUGACCGAGCAACGCCGCGUGAGUGAAGAAGGUUUUCGGAUCGUAAAGCUCUGUUGUAAGAGAAGAACGGGUGUGAGAGUGGAAAGUUCACACUGUGACGGUAUCUUACCAGAAAGGGACGGCUAACUACGUG
rnacentral:rRNA from 1 species